AGGGGUAUGGUGAAACGGUUAUCACGGGUGACUCUGACUCACUUAUUCGGGGUUCGAAUCCCUGUACCCCUG
rnacentral:tRNA from 1 species